rnacentral:rRNA from 1 species
UACGUAGGGGGCAAGCGUUGUCCGGAUUUAUUGGGCGUAAAGAGCGUGUAGGCGGCCAUUCAGGUCAGCUGUGAAAACUCGAGGCUUAACCUCGAGACGUCGGUUGAAACCGUUUGGCUAGAGUCCGGAAGAGGAGAGUGGAAUUCCCGGUGUAGCGGUGGAAUGCGUAGAUAUCGGGAGGAACACCUGUGGCGAAAGCGGCUCACUGGACCACAACUGACGCUGAUGCACGAAAGCUAGGGGAGCAAACAGG